CCUACGGGUGGCAGCAGUGGGGAAUAUUGGGCAAUGGGCGCAAGCCUGACCCAGCAACGCCGCGUGAAGGAUGAAGGUUUUCGGAUUGUAAACUUCUGUCGCGAGGGACGAAGAAUGACGGUACCUCGUUAGAUAGCCCCGGCUAACUACGGGGCAGCAACCGCCGGAAUACGUAGGGGGCAAGCGUUGUCCGGAAUGACUGGGUGUAAAGGGGGUGUAGGCGGCUUAUCAAGUUAGAUGUGAAAUCCCGCGGCUUAACCGCGGAACUGCAUCGGAAAAUGGUUAGCUGGAGUGCAGGAGAGGUGAGCGGAAUUCCUAGUGUAGCGGUGGAAUGCGUAGAUAUUAGGAGGAACACCAGAGGCGAAGGCGACUGACUGGACGGCAACUGACGCUGAGGCGCGAAAGCGUGGGGAGCAAACAGGAUUAGAUACCCGAGUAGUC
rnacentral:rRNA from 1 species